CAAGUACCCCCUCCGUCCGGAAUUACUUGUCAUCAAAAUGGAUGUGUCUAGAACUAAAAUACAUCUAGAUACAUCCAUUUCAAUGACAAGUAUUUCCGGACGGAUGGAGUACAAG
rnacentral:pre_miRNA from 1 species